UAGCGAGCGGCCGCCAACGCCUUAUUGGCGUG
rnacentral:sRNA from 1 species